rnacentral:rRNA from 1 species
UACAGAGGGUGCAAGCGUUAAUCGGAAUUACUGGGCGUAAAGCGUGCGUAGACGGUUACAUAAGUCGGGUGUGAAAGCCCCGGGCUCAACCUGGGAAUUGCAUUCGAGACUGCGUAGCUAGGGUGCGGAAGAGGGAAGCGGAAUUUCCGGUGUAGCGGUGAAAUGCGCAGAUAUCAGGAGGAACACCGGUGGCGAAGGCGGGUCUCUGGGCAGUAACUGACGCUGAGGAGCGAAAGCGUGGGUAGCAAACAGG